rnacentral:rRNA from 1 species
GACGGGGGAUGCAAGUGUUAUCCGGAAUCACUGGGCGUAAAGCGUCUGUAGGUGGUCUAGCAAGUCAACUGUUAAAUCUUGAGGCUCAACUUCAAAAUCGCAGUCGAAACUGUUAGACUAGAGUAUAGUAGAGGUAAAGGGAAUUUCCAGUGGAGCGGUGAAAUGCGUAGAGAUUGGAAAGAACACCGAUGGCGAAGGCACUUUACUGGGCUAUUACUAACACUCAGAGACGAAAGCUAGGGUAGCAAAU